rnacentral:rRNA from 1 species
AGGGAAUCUUCGGCAAUGGGGGCAACCCUGACCGAGCAACGCCGCGUGAGUGAAGAAGGUUUUCGGAUCGUAAAGCUCUGUUGUAAGUCAAGAACGAGUGUGAGAGUGGAAAGUUCACACUGUGACGGUAGCUUACCAGAAAGGGACGGCUAACUACGUGCCAGCAGCCGCGGUAAUACGUAGGUCCCGAGCGUUGUCCGGAUUUAUUGGGCGUAAAGCGAGCGCAGGCGGUUUGAUAAGUCUGAAGUUAAAGGCUGUGGCUCAACCAUAGUUCGCUUUGGAAACUGUCAAACUUGAGUGCAGAAGGGGAGAGUGGAAUUCCAUGUGUAGCGGUGAAAUGCGUAGAUAUAUGGAGGAACACCGGUGGCGGAAGCGGCUCUCUGGUCUGUAACUGACGCUGAGGCUCGAAAGCGUGGGGAGCGAACAGGAUUAGAUACCCUGGUAGUCCACGCCGUAAACGAUGAGUGCUAGGUGUUGGGUCCUUUCCGGGAUUCAGUGCCGCAGCUAACGCAUUAAGCACUCCGCCUGGGGAGUACGACCGCAAGGUUG